GCUCAUGAACACAGCAGCAAUUCCAAGCAAGUUUCUCAGUGCAUCGUUGCAAGUAGAAUCAUGAUUAACCAGGUGCCAAGAUGUGACAUCAUUCGCAAAUUCGCAAUUGUUUGCAAAACAUCAACAUGGAAAGAUCUGCAAUGCAAAUGCCUUUCUUUUUUAUGGGCUACGAGUGGUUUCUUCUGCAACACAAAUUUGCAGAAGAAAAAGGAAAAAAGGGAAGAAAAAGUUGUACUAGUAUGAUCACUUGUCCGGCGCCGGCGCUGGAGCUGGCUCGCCGNNN
rnacentral:lncRNA from 1 species